ACUAUACAAUCGAUUUGUCACUAAAAAUGUUGGCAAGCAUUGACAGAACAGCUAUAGUAAAUAUUGUUCCAUAAUUUUGGGCAAAUAGAAAAAAAAUCUAAAAAAAAGCAUUUAAGUAAAAAAAAGCCAGAAUUCCCGCUGCCCGCUGUUUGCAAUUUUUUCAAGCAAAUGGCAUUUGGAAAAAGCCAGUUUUGACGGGAAAAAAGCGACUCUGGCAACACUGGCAAGAAUAAACAGCAGGAAGAGGAAGAAUAUCAAAGGCAAUUGAAACAAAUCAACCGAAAAUUAGCAAUUUAAUAAAAUAAGCGACACUGAGGUCAUACAAAAAAUAUAAGUGGUCGGAGAUGCCUCGAUCUAUCUGUUACAUACAUUUCCUGCCGGCAUAAAGUUAUAAUACGCUUCUACCCUAUGGGUAGCGGGUAUAAAAAAUUUUUACAAUAUCCAAAAUUUUGCCGAUUUUUUCAUUUCAACGCCUCGAAAAAGACUCGUCAAAGCAGUAAAAAACAUUCGUAAAUGUCAACAAUUAGGGCCACUAGCAACCUUGCGGAAGAAAGUGUAAAGAGCACCAACCAAAACCUCUAACCUAGGGUUCCGAGUAACACUUCAACCGUGAACUCCGCUUCUAACUGUCCACCUCUUAAUCAAAACACGACAAUUGACCUGAUGGACCCGAUGGACAUAUUCGCGUUCUUAAGUGUACCAGACCAGACUCGAUUCAUGAAAGUUUACGACGGAAAUCCUGAAGACCUUAGUGACUUAAUUUUCAACGUCAAAGGAAUUUUACUAUUCAUAUGAGGAACGGAUCAGACCCCCUAUGGGCAGAUGCUCCUUAGAGCAAUUAGUAACAAAAUUGAAGAAAAAGCCAACGACAUUCUAAAAGAAGUAGGAGUAACCUUGAACUGAGACGACAUUAAAGAGACCUUACUUACGCACUGCACGGACAAAAGAGACGAACCUACUCUUAUGUGCGAAUUACACGGACUUAUAUAAAAACAAUCAAAGGAAGAAAACGCUCAACGGGUAAUACGCUGUUAGACUGACCUCCAUCAUCAUUAAAUAGAAUUUCCGGCGGCAUCAUUCUAUAAGCGGCUAUGAGUAAGAGAGAAACGGCUAAUAGAACCACAUCAGUGUAGCAGAUGUACUUGUUAUAAAUAGGGUUUAAAAUGGACCAAGCUUUCAAAUGCCACUCAAUAAUCGAUAUUGACUGCCUUGAAUUAAUGUUAAAUUAGUGCUGCACAAAAGUGGGCGCACAUUUUAGAUAACUUAGAUAAUCGUUUUUUGAUAAAACUGUUUUAUUCUUGUUGCUUUCGUGUUACAGUUUACAGGUUUGUUUGUGUAUUUGUGUUUACAUUACAGAGCGUUUAUAAAUGCUCACGGGUUACAUUUAAAUAUGUUUUGUAUCAACUAGAAAAAGUUACCUAUAUUAGGAUUGAUUGUGUGUUUUAAAAAUAUCUUUCGCAUUCUCUGUGUGAUAAUAUUGGGUUUCAUUUAUUUAUAUUGAUAUUGGGAUAAUAUUUCCCUAGCGGUAUUGUGGUUACAUAGCAAAUUUGUGCUUUCUACACAAUAAACAAUAACA